rnacentral:rRNA from 1 species
UGCCAGCAGCCGCGGUAAUUCCAGCUCCGCAAGUGUAUAUCUAUGUUGCUGCGGUUAAAAAGCUCGUAGUUGGAUCUGCGUGUUUAGCGUCCGGUUCGACUUUUGGUCGUUACUGGAACGCGACACAGAUGUGCUGGUUUGCCGUUGAUGCUCUUAAUCGGGUGUCAGUGGCGGCUAGCGAGUUUACUUUGAAAAAAUUAGAGUGCUCAAAACAGGCGUUUCGCCUGAAUAUUUCUGCAUGGAAUAAUAGAAUAGGACUUCGAUUCUAUUCUGUUGGUUUUCGGAAUGCGAAGUAAUGAUUAAGAGGGACAGACGGGGGCAUUCGUACUGCGACGUUAGAGGUGAAAUUCUUGGAUCGUCGCAAGACGUACUACUGCGAAGGCAUUUGCCAAGAAUGUUUUCACUAAUCAAGAACGAAAGCUAUGGGUUCGAAGGCGAUCAGAUACCGCCCUAGUCAUAACCGUAGACGAUUCAAACUGGGCGCCCGACGGUGUUUUUAUUGACCCGUCGGGAACCCUCCCGGAAACGAAAGUGUUCGUGUUCCGGGGGAAAUAUGUCUGCAAAGAGGAAACUUAAAGGAAUUGACGGAAGGGCACCACCAGGGGUGGAGCCUGCGGCUUAAUUUGACUCAACACGGGGAAACUCACCCGGCCCGGACACCGUAAGGAUUGACAGAUUGAGAGCUCUUUCUUGAUUCGGUGGGUGGUGGUGCAUGGCCGUUCUUAGUUGGUGGAGUGAUUUGUCUGGUUUAUUCCGAUAACGAACGAGACUCUGGCCUGCUAACUAGUGUUCACAUCUUUACGUGUGCUUCGCUUCUUAGAGGGACAGGCGGCUUCCAGCCGCAUGAAGAAGAGCAAUAACAGGCCUGUGAUGCCCUUAGAUGUCCGGGGCUGCACGCGCGCUACACUGAAAGAAUCAGCGUGUACGUUACCUGGCUCGAAAGAGUCGGGUAAUCCGGUGAAAAUCUUUCGUGAUUGGGAUCGGGACUUGCAAUUAUUUCCCUUGAACGAGGAAUCCCUAGUAAGUGCGGGUCAUCAGCUCGCGCUGAUUACGUCCCUGCCCUUUGUACACACCGCCCGUCGCUGCCCGGAACUGAGCCGUUUCGAGAAAAAUGGGGACUGUCUACUUGAGGUCUUCACGGACUUUUUGUAAAUGGAAACCGCUUUAAUCGCAGCGGCUUGAACCGGGCAAAAGUCGUAACAAGGUUUCCGUAGGUGAACCUGCGGAAG